rnacentral:rRNA from 1 species
CAACAGGGAUUGCCUUAGUAACGGCGAGUGAAGCGGCAAAAGCUCAAAUUUGAAAUCGGCCACCAGGUCGAGUUGUAAUUUGUAGAUUGUAUCUUGAGAGCGGAUUAAAGUCUGUUGGAACACAGCGCCUUAGAGGGUGACAGCCCCGUAAAAUCUAUUCUCAUUGUAAGAUACUUUCGAAGAGUCGAGUUGUUUGGGAAUGCAGCUCUAAGUGGGAGGUAAAUUCCUUCUAAAGCUAAAUAUUGACGAGAGACCGAUAGCGAACAAGUACUGUGAAGGAAAGAUGAAAAGCACUUUGAAAAGAGAGUGAAAAAGUACGUGAAAUUGUUAAAAGGGAAGGGUAUUGAAUCAGACUUGGUGCUGUUGUUCAACUGUGUUUCGGCAUAGUGUACUCAGCAGUACUAGGCCAAGGUGGGGUGUUUGGGAGUGAAAAAGAAGUWGGAASGUAACUCUUCGGAGUGUUAUAGCCUACUUUCAUAGCUCCUCAGGCGCCUCAGGACUGCGCUUCGGCAAGGACCUUGGCAUAAUGAUUCUAUACCGCCCGUCUUGAAACACGGACCAAGGAGUCUAACGUCUAUGCGAGUGUUUGGGUGUAAAACCCGUACGCGUAAUGAAAGUGAACGUAGAUAGGAGCAGUAAUGCGCACUAUCGACCGAUCCUGAAGUUUUCAGAUGGAUUUGAGUAAGAGCAUAGCUGUUGGGACCCGAAAGAUGGUGAACUAUGCCUGAAUAGGGUGAAGCCAGAGGAAACUCUGGUGGAGGCUCGUAGCGGUUCUGACGUGCAAAUCGAUCGUCGAAUUUGGGUAUAGGGGCGAAAGACUAAUCGAACCAUCUAGUAGCUGGUUCCUG